rfam:Streptomyces gancidicus BKS 13-15 Contig00145, whole genome shotgun sequence.
UCGCGUCAUGCGCCGUAGGCAGGAGCGGGGGACCCAGGUAAGCGCCGGACCCGGACGGUUCACGUCCGGUACGGCUUGGGGUGAAGCCGCGUCCCGGGAGGGACGUGGCCGGGCAACUCAACCGGCCCGAACCCGACAGCUCACCUCGCAGGCGUCGGUGAGGGGAUCC